UGCUCCUGAACUUUCUCGUAGGCUCACCUGUGCCCUACCUUGUAAAAUCCAGUUUUGGCUCUAAGAACUGUGUAUGAUUAGUACUGCUUUUUUCAGGGAAAAAUUGCGUAAUUAACUAAAUUCUGAUGAGACACAAGAGGAACAACAUAUGGUCAAAGAUUUAAACGCAACGAAUGGAAUAAUAAGAAUAUUAGAAAAAAUUUGGAGGAUUUUUAACCUCAAAGCAGAAGUUGGCACUGAUGAGUAAUCUGUAUGUUUAAUGUAGGUAUUAAAAGACUUCAGAAAUGAGAUAUAAAUAAAACCCCAAAGCCCUGCAAGUGUUUUCCAUGAAAGGAGGCAUCCAGUGGGAGGACAAUGGAUCCACAGAGGUGGUUCAUGAAGAGCUACUAUUCUCGCCUUUGUCUUCGCCACUGAGGAGAUCAAAAAGAACUCUCAUCUUCUUCCCAACCUGACCUUGGGUUAUGAUAUCUACAAUUCCUUUGAAAGUGACCACAGGACUCUGGAAAAUACCCUCUUUUGGCUGUCUGGAGGGAGUUGAUCUGUCCUUAAUUACAACUGCCAGAGACAGAGGAAAUCUCUGGCCAUAGUUACAGGAAUUGCACGGGCAUUUUCAGCUGAGAUCGGAACACUUCUGGAGCUGGACAAAAUCCCAUAGGGUCACAUAUGGUCCUUUCGAUUCUUCAUUUGGUAAUAAAGACCGAUUUUCAUCUCUUUAUCGGAUGGACAGUCAUGACAGCUAUCUCACCCAUGCAAUGAUUGGACUAUUGCUGCAUUUUGACUGGACGUGGGUAUCACUCUCUUCUGUUGAAGAAAGAGAAAGUGAGCAGUUUAUUUGGGACCUGAAAGCAGAGAUGAUACUGAAAGGUUCAAAUUCAUGUGGUACAGCUAUCCAAGAGACUGUUAGGCUACAGAGAAGUUCAUAAGGCUGUAUUCCACUUCGAAGAGAAAGACAAUGCCAGGCCCCAGUGCUUAUCCAAGGCCAGGAAUAGGAAGUUGUUCUGAAGGACUUCUGGAGAAAUGCGAGCUUCCUGAGAGCAGAGGCUGUGUGUGGCAGUGUUGACUAAGUCUUGUGAGUGCAACUAAGGCAGAGGAAGGACAACUUACUGCAGCUUUGGGCUUUUAAUUGCCCAAUUGCCCUGAUAGAACAUAUUUCUUAUAAUGACCUCUCUCACUAGUCACAUAUUCAUCUAUGUAAUAAAUGCACUCUGAUUCAUUCAAAACAGAAUAAGAAAAAAUACUCAUAACAAUUAAAUUCAUGUUCUUGAUGCUGGUUGCCUUUUCUUGCUGGUAUUUAUAACUGUCUCCAUCACCCAUUCCUAUUCACUUCACCCUCAGUAAGCGCCUCAGUGGUUCCUGGAUCUUCACCUGGUUGGAUAACUCUCUUUUUUAUUCCUGAAGGAUCUAAUCAUUAGUAAUCCUGCUUGGUUUGUUUUUCUGUAGUUUUCUAUUGAUUUGAAUCAUGAGAUAUACUAAUACUAAGAAUGCCCUAAGGAAUCUCCUGAUUUCCAGACUUAGGCUUCCUCACCUUCAUUGCAGAGUGCAGAUCAAUUUCCCCUUGGUAAUCAGGGUCAGUUAUCUCAGCCAGUACAGAAAUUUUAUUUUGUGAAUCUUGGCAAA